GUCCGCGUAGAGUAGUGGUCAUCUCGCCAGAAUCACAAUACCGGUCCCAGAUUUAGGACCAGGAUUCCUCUGGAUAUCGUCGGUUCGAACCCGACCGCGGGCA